GAUGAACGCUAGCGGCAGGCCUAAUACAUGCAAGUCGAACGGUCCACUUCGGUGGAUAGUGGCGCACGGGUGCGUAACACGUAUGCAACCUACCUUACAUUGGGGGAUAGCCCUUCGAAAGGGAGAUUAAUACCGCAUAAGACAGUAACAUGGCAUCAUGUAGCUGUUAAAGAUUUAUCGAUGUAAGCUGGGCAUGCGUCCAAUUAGUUAGUUGGUGAGGUAAAGGCUCACCAAGACGAUGAUUGGUAGGGGAACUGAGAGGUCAAUCCCCCACACUGGCACUGAGAUGCGGGCCAGACUCCUACGGGAGGCAGCAGUAGGGAAUAUUGGGCAAUGGACGCAAGUCUGACCCAUCCAUGCCGCGUGCAGGAAGAAGGCGUUCUGCGUUGUAAACUGCUUUUAUAUAGGAAGAAACGACCCUUGCGAGGGGCAUUGACGGUAUUAUAUGAAUAAGCACCGGCUAACUCCGUGCCAGCAGCCGCGGUAAGAC
rnacentral:rRNA from 1 species